rnacentral:lncRNA from 1 species
UAACGGCGAAUUUAGCUUCUUUCUCGAGGUCGUCGAUAUCAAUUUCACUUUCAUAUUCAUCGAUUUCUGUUUCACUAACGAUAUCUUCUUCUUCUUCUACUUCGACUUCUUCUUCUUCUUCUUCGAAAUGUUGAGUGGUGUUGGCGGAGGAUUUGAGAGGGGUUAAUUUGGGGAAAGAGAGAGAAGAGAGGAAGGAAAUGGGAGGACUAUGUGAGGAAAGGAGGGAAAGGGAAGUUUUUUUG